GACGAACGCUGGCGGCGUGCUUAACACAUGCAAGUCGAACGCUGAAGCUCAGCUUUUGUUGGGUGGAUGAGUGGCGAACGGGUGAGUAACACGUGAGUAACCUGCCCCCUUCUUUGGGAUAACGCCCGGAAACGGGUGCUAAUACUGGAUAUUCACUGGUCUUCGCAUGGGGGUUGGUGGAAAGGGUUUUUCUGGUGGGGGAUGGGGGCGGGGCCUAUCAGCUUGUUGGUGGGGUGAUGGCCUACCAAGGCUUUGACGGGUGGCCGGCCUGAGAGGGUGAACGGGAAGAGAGGGACGGAGAUAGGGCCCAGAAUAGGACGGGAGGGAGAAGUGGGGAAAAUGGCAGAAUGGGCGCAAGAGUGAUGCAGCGACGGCGGGGGAGGGAUGGAGGCCUUCGGGUUGUGAACCUGUUUGGAUAAUGGUGAAGCCGCAACAAUGGUUGUGGUGAGGGUAGUGGGUAAAGAAGCGCCGGCUAACUACGUG
rnacentral:rRNA from 1 species